GAACAACUUGACUCAUUUAUAUAAAGGCUUGAAUAUGGGCAAAAUAUAUCUCCGAGGGACGAUAUACCAGGUUUCUACCAAAUAAAACAAGCAGAAGUCACUCGAACUUUGCGAGUAAUGAUCUGGACAAGCUUUCUAAUGCAAACUGUAAGAAAAGAAAGGGGGAUAAUUCAGCAAUGACAGAGGGAAAAGGAGGC